GUAAACGGCGGCCUUAGCGUGAGGCGUCUUAAGGUAGCAUGAUAAGUCGGCCUUUAAUUGGGGUCUGGUAUGAAUGGGUUGACGUCGGAUAAGCUGUCUCAUAUAGUAAAGUUGAAAUUAAUUUUAAAGUGAAGAAGCUUUAAUUAAAAAAAAAGACGACAAGACCCUAUGAAGCUUUAUCUUAACUGUAUAAGGUUGUUGUGUAAAAGAAUAACCCUAUUACGGAUGAUUUUGUUGGGAUAACAGGGUGGAAAUGUGCUGCCUAUAUUAAAUCAACUAACAAGUUUUAUCUUAAAUUUAGUAAAUAUGGCAAGCUACUCUAGGGAUAACAGCGCGAUCUUUUUUUAGAGUUCAAAUCGAAAAAGAGGUUUGCGACCUCGAUGUUGGCUUUAGGUUACCUGAAGGCGUAGAGGCUUUCAAGAGUGGGUCUGUUCGACCUUUAAUUCCUAACAUGAUCUGAUUUUCAGACCGG
rnacentral:rRNA from 1 species